rnacentral:lncRNA from 1 species
UGAAGUAACCAGGAGGAAUACAUUUGCAGUACUCACUAUAGUAGAGCCUCCUGAUGGGAACGAACAGAAGGGAGAAUGCAGCCUAGAGCCAGUAGAUCCAGGAGGCACUACAUCCACUGUUUCCCCAUGAUUAUUGUAUCCUGGAACAUUAGAGGACUAAACAAAUCCUACAAACAAAGAGAGUUAGUCAAAUUCCUGAGGACUAAUAGAGUUGAUAUAAUAGCCCGCCUAGAAACUAGAGUGAAGCAGCAAAACUCAAUGGCAAUAUAUAAGAAGUUGGGAGGUGACUGGACUAUAGGGAACAACUAUGUACAGUCUCCUAAUGGCAGAAUAUG